UGUUAUACACAAGUGGGCUGAGUGCAGA
rnacentral:piRNA from 1 species